rnacentral:rRNA from 1 species
GAAUCUUCCACAAUGGACGAAAGUCUGAUGGAGCAACGCCGCGUGAGCGAAGAAGGUUNUCGGAUNGNAAAGCUCUGUUGCGAGGNCAGAACAAGUACGGGAGUAACUGCCCGUACCUUGACGGUACCUCGUCAGAAAGCCACGGCUAACUACGUGCCAGCAGCCGCGGUAAUACGUAGGUGGCAAGCGUUGUCCGGAAUUAUUGGGCGUAAAGCGCGCGCAGGCGGUCCUUUAAGUCUGAUGUGAAAGCCCACGGCUCAACCGUGGAGGGUCAUUGGAAACUGGAGGACUUGAGUACAGAAGAGGAAAGCGGAAUUCCACGUGUAGCGGUGAAAUGCGUAGAGAUGUGGAGGAACACCAGUGGCGAGGGCGGCUUUCUGGUCUGUAACUGACGCUGAGGCGCGAAAGCGUGGGGAGCAAACA